rnacentral:lncRNA from 1 species
AGCCUUUAUCUCCACUCUGCGGAGAUUCACGCCUGGAAAACGCUCUUCUGAGAGGAUCUGUGGAGGUCAACCCAGGAGAGAGAAGACAGGACUGAAGCACUGAAAGGGUCCUGCCGUUAAGGGCGCAGGAUUGUAUAGAAUAUAUAAUAGCAGUAGCAGCUCUGUUUACGGAGCAUUAACCUUACGUGGAGUUAUUUCCUGCAUUUCCUCCUUUCGUCUUUACAAGGUAGCCGUUUGGCGUCGUGAGGUAUGGAUGUUCCCAUCCCUAAUUUGCAAAAUAGGUAACUGAGGCUCAGGAGAGCUAGACUAGUUUGUGCACAGCCGAGAAGUGGUCAAGCUAGAAUGGGACCCCAGGUUUGUGCUCCCUACUCUCCACCGAUAACCUAUCAAAGGGCUUUGCAAGAGCUUUUGACUAAUCGUCUGUCAAUGGUUCUUCAUUCACGUAUUAAUUGCACAUCAGUAUGUGCCAAAUCUACUAGACAUUGGAGAAACAGUAGGAACAACACAUGGUACCGGCACAUGGAUCUUUCAGGAAAACGAAGUAGGUAAUAAACAGGAAAAAGCCCGAGUCUGAUGCUAAGAAGAACAUAAACAGGAUGCUGAGCGGAAAGUGACCAGAAGAGGUGUGCAGUUUCCAGGCCUGGCCCAUACAGACCUCCAACAGGUGCUCCCCUGUGCUGUUACUCCUUCUGCCAACUGGAAGCAGAUGGUGACCAGGCUCUGGAGAAGGCAAGGCCUGAAGAUGGGAGAUUCCUAAGUGGAGGAGAACUGUGCCUUACUGACCUAAAUAUCCACUCAGUAUUGUUAUGUGAGAAUAAAUAAACUUGUGUUGACCGUUUAC